AACGAACGCUGGCGGCAUGCCUAACACAUGCAAGUCGAACGAGACCUUCGGGUCUAGUGGCGCACGGGUGCGUAACGCGUGGGAACCUGCCCUUAGGUUCGGAAUAACUCCCCGAAAGGGGUGCUAAUACCGGGUAAUGUCUUCGGACCAAAGAUUUAUCGCCUUUGGAUGGGCCCGCGUUGGAUUAGCUAGUUGGUAGGGUAAAAGCCUACCAAGGCGACGAUCCAUAGCUGGUCUGAGAGGAUGAUCAGCCACACUGGGACUGAGACACGGCCCAGACUCCUACGGGAAGCAGCAGUGGGGAAUAUUGGACAAUGGGCGAAAGCCUGAUCCAGCAAUGCCGCGUGAGUGAUGAAGGCCUUAGGGUUGUAAAGCUCUUUUACCCGGGAUGAUAAUGACAGUACCGGGAGAAUAAGCUCCGGCUAACUCCGUG
rnacentral:rRNA from 1 species